rnacentral:rRNA from 1 species
CCUACGGGAGGCAGCAGUGGGGAAUAUUGCACAAUGGGGGAAACCCUGAUGCAGCGACGCCGCGUGAGGGAAGAAGUAUCUCUGGAUGGUAAGCUCCUUUUGUAGGGGAGAAAAUCCCGGUACGUGUCCAAGACUGCCCGGCUAACUCCGUGCCAGCUCCCGCGGCAACACGCAGGGGGCCCGCGUUAUCCGGAUUUAAUGGGUGUAAAGGGAGCGUAGGCGGUAUCACAAGUCUGGAGUGAAUCUCCGGGGCUUAACCCCGGAACUGCAGUGGAAACUGGGAGGCUGGAGUGCAGGAGGGGUAAGCGGAAUGCGUGGUGUAGCGGUGAAAUGCGUAGAUAUCGGGAAGAACACCGGUGGCGAAGGCAGCUUGCUGGACUGUAACUGACGCUGAGGCACGAAAGCGUGGGGAGCGAACAGGAUUAGAUACCCCGGUAGUC